CUUCACCGAACCCACCCACAGCGGGCGGUCGCGGUCGCGGCCGUAGGUGGACAGCAGCGCCUGCGCCUC
rnacentral:antisense_RNA from 1 species